GUCGGAGGCCCACUAUUGGCAUACACAGCAAAAGAAAGAAACAGAAUCAAUGAAAAACAGACGCGCAACUAAUGUGCAAAAGACAACAAACUGUGCAAAUACUAAAAGAAAGGAGAUACAGCAUGGAAUAGGCCCUUCAAGCCACACCACCACCCAUCAACCCCCGACUUAACCAUAGACGAAUCAUGGGACAAUCAACUAAUCUACUAGCUGGUACAUCUUUGGACUGUGGGAGGAAACCCGAGCACCCGGAGACAACCCACACAGUCAUGGGGAGAACAUACAAGCUCCCUACAAAUGACAUUGGAAAUGAAGUCUGAACACCAACUUCCCAAGCUGUAAUAGCAUCACAUUAACCACUAUGCUACCGUGAUCUUAGAGAAGGUUUAAGGGUUGGCACAACUCUCUAGGCCAAUGGGCUGUAAUGUUCUUCGAGAAUCUACUAAU